UAAGGCUCUGUUUGGAUUGAUGGUACACAAUGGAGCGGAGCGGAAUGGAAUAAAACGGAAUGAAACGGAACGGAGUGGAAUGGAAGAGAGAUUCCAUUCCAUCAUUUGGAUAUUUUGUGACAGAAAAAACUAAUAUCUCGCUCUAUUGUUUGGAAAGUGGACGGAAUGGAAUGAAUUAUAAUUUUUUAUUCUAAUUUUACCCUUUAUUUAUAAAACAUUUAUAAAACAUUGAUAUUUUGAAUUUUUUGAAAAUCUCUUCUUCAACACUCCAAAAUCCAAAUACAUAUUCAAUCGACAUUCUUAAUAACUAUCAAAGAAUAAAAUCAACUUCAAUUAUGAAUUCAUACAUAAACAAAUCAAACCAUGUUUAAAAGAAACAAAUUAAAUCAAGUCAAACAACAUUUAUUUAUCAACUUCAUAAGAACUAAAGUAAAUGACUUUGCUAUACUC
rnacentral:lncRNA from 1 species